rnacentral:sRNA from 4 species
AAUUGGUCGCAGGUUCGAAUCCUGCACGACCCACCAAUUUAACAUCAAACUCAGAUGUUGAACGUGAAGGAUAACGUUGCGUCAGCAACGGCCCGUAGGGCGAGGCGAAGCCGAGUCAUCCUGCACGACCCACCA